CCUUCUUCAACACGUCUGAAUCCCAGCUUGGGGAGGGGGGUCCCCCUUCCCAACAUGUCCCUCCCCUCAUAUUCUCCCUCAGCCCUAGGCUUUUCUGUAGAGUUCCGUUUUCUCCUUUCUGGACAAUCUGAUAUAGCUCUGUCUUGUCUAAAGAAUCCUGCUUUUUAUUAUUAUCUGACCUGAUGUAAACACAAAUGCUGGAGGCUGCAAAGAGGAAUCCAGGGAAACUUGAAAGAUUCAGCUUGGCAUGGAAUCCCUUACUGAUGAAUGGGGAACACACAUUUCAUGGACUCCAGCGGCUGUGUCCUACCCAAAACCAGGAAAGUUCCAUUCUCUUAGGAGGCCAGGGCGGGGCUCAUAGCAAACACUGGCUGAGUAAGUGAAGGAAUAAAGGAAUGAACACAUUUUAUAGAAGCUAUGCCAACCAAACUAUAUUCUGAUUUAGGAGAAGAGCCAAAAGCGAUGAGGUUUUGUAAGUUUCAACAAAACGCCUGUAAAACCCCCCAGCUUUAAUAAUGCAAACUUAUUUUCAAGAAACGUGAACGUUUCCUUUCCAAACAUGUACUUUUAUAGUUCAGAUAUUUUUUGCUUCGUUGUCAGUAAAGGAAUGUUCUUACAGUGGCACAAGCCAGUUUAUGGUCUGUUUCUUUUUAUGUGGAUGGUUAAAAAAAAAAAAAAAAACUCAUCAUUUUGUGCCAUGCCAGUGGUCUGGGAAAAAACAUCCAAAUCAAAUGUGGACAGUAUAUAAACA